UACGUAGGUGGCAAGCGUUUGUCCGGAUUUACUGGGCGUAAAGAGCGCGCAGGCGGUCGAUCAAGUCGCGUGUGAAAGCCCCCCGGCUCAACUGGGGAGGGUCACGCGAUACUGAUCGACUCGAAGGCAGGAGAGGGUAGUGGAAUUCCCGGUGUAGUGGUGAAAUGCGUAGAUAUCGGGAGGAACACCAGUGGCGAAGGCGACUACCUGGCCUGUUCUUGACGCUGAGGCGCGAAAGCUAGGGGAGCAAACGGGGAUUAAGAAACCCGGGGUGAGUCC
rnacentral:rRNA from 1 species